rnacentral:rRNA from 1 species
AUGGGCCCAUGGGCUUACCUGGCCCGAACGAAAGCCCUGUUUUCUACUAGUGUUAGUUUUCACGACAUCAACCCGACGGAUUGGAGACUUGUGCCCUCGGUGAGAGUUUGGUGGAACGAGGUUUGUCACGAAAGGGGUGACUUGCGCAAGGCUCGGAACACCUUGAUGAUGCUUGCUGCGUGGGAAAUCUGGAACAAGCGCAACGCGAGGAACUUCCGCAACAUAGCCGCCCCUACUACCGUCGUCAUCGCCAAGAUCAAGGAUGAAGCCUCUCUUUGGGCUCGUGUGCGUGCGAAGUAUUUGAGUAAUAUAAUGCCGCGAGAGUAA